GACGAACGCUGGCGGCGUGCUUAACACAUGCAAGUCGAACGGACAGGCCCUGCUUUUGUUGGGUUCUCGAUUGGCGAGCGCGUGUGUAACACGUGUGUAACCUGCCCUUGUCUUUGGGAUAACUUCAGGAAACUGGGGCUAAUAUCGGAUAGGAGCUCCUGCUGCAUGGUGGGGGUUGGUAAGUUUCGGCGGUUGGGGAUGGACUGGCGGCUUAUCAGCUUGUUGGUGGGGUAGUGGCUUACCAAGGGUUUGACGGGUAGCCGGCCUGAGAGGGUGACCGGGGACAUUGGGACUGAGAUACGGCCCAGAAGCCUACGGGAGGCAGCAGUGGGGAAUAUUGCACAAUGGGCGGAAGCCUGAUGCAGCAACGCCGCGUGCGGGAUGCCGGCCUUCGGGUUGUAAACCGCUUUCGCCUGUGCCAAAGCGUGCGUGACGGUAAUGGGUAAAGAAGCACCGGCUAACUACGUG
rnacentral:rRNA from 1 species